rnacentral:lncRNA from 1 species
AAAGGGCCUCUUUGAAUGCAGCUCCCGACGAGUAUUCCAAAUAACCUGUAUAUACACUUGUAAAAAUGUUAGUCACGAAUAAAUAAUAAUUAAAAUAAAUCAAACAAGUAUGUGUGUAUAUAAAUAUUUAAAUAUACUUUUGUUAAAAAGUGGGCUCAGGUAAAGUCAUGGCUGCGAAAUGAUUGCUCAAUUAAUUGGUCGUCCAAAAUCGUUUUGCUACGAAGUGAUUGCUCAAUUAAUUGACUGUCCUAAAUCGUCUUGCCAGAAUAUGAAUUGUAAAAUCUUGUGUUGUUAUAAAAUUUCAUCAUCGCCCAAAAUAUUUAUUUUAUUACGUAUUUGUACACGUAAAGUCCGUCUUUUAUUUACGGAUGCCUCAAAUUAAUAAUAGUUUUUCAUCGGCCACAAAUGUGUAGUAUCGUAAUCUUUAUCAAUUUAAACUGAUAAAGCAAUAAAAAGAGUAAAAUUAGUCCAAAAACGGCUCAAACCCAUAAAGUUAUAAGCAAUAAAUAGUCAACAAACCAAAAGUAAAGGUAAUAUUCAACAAAGAAAAAGUAAAGCAAGAAACAUUAUUAACAAAAAGUAAAGGCAAACACGUGGGUUACUAAAAAUGUCCAAAUAAUGACUCAUUGAUAAUUAAAACAACACCGCCAGGAUAGAAGCAUAUAGAUACAGUAUCUGUUCCUUAUCAGUGUAGCGCAUCACAAAUCAAUAAAAGCAGUCCCCAAAAUGCAAGACUAUUAGCAAAUCAACUGAAAUUAAUAAACUAAUGUAAGAAAGCAGUCCAGGCAGGCAGCAACAGACAGUCAACAAAAUUGAAUCAAGAUAAAAUCUCGUUUCAAAAUUCAAGCCCCAUCAAAAAAUAUCAAAUAAUUGUAAAGGGGAUUGGAGAGGUUACUUUCACGACGAGUAUCGCUGGAGCAACACGUUAAUGGUAACGCCAAAUCCAGUUAGAUUUGACGAUAACAAUGGAGGAAAAGGCAGUGCAAUUUCGUUUCAACUAAAGGCUCACCCGCCGGCAACCAAUUCCGGCGAGGCGCGGGGAAAAGGAGAAGGGGUGGUACGGUUGGAGGUUUGAACCUCGUCGGUCACCACCUCCGGCGAGGCAGCGACGAGAGACGGUAGAAGAAGAGAGGGGGCGGGGCUGGUUGCAAAUUGGAGGCCAAAACUCCGAUGAUUGUUUGGUUGAAGACGCAGCAGCGAUGACAAAUCCGCCAGCUGCUGCUGUCGUUGGUUGCUGCUGUUGUUCCGGUGGUGAAGGGUUUGCCGAUUUGAUGGUGGUGCGGCGGGGAAGAGAGAAAAAAGGGUGUGAAGGUGGCCGGAGAUGGUAUGGUGGUUGUUGCUUGUCAUGGGAGAGAUAAAGAGGAAGAGAGUAGUUAGGGUUGGUGGUGAUAGAGAGAGGGAAAAAAUGUUAAGAAAGAAAAUGGAGUCCCUUUGUGUGUGUUGUACAUAGGUGUUUUGUAGUGUAUGUAUUGUGUGAGAAAAAAAAAUGGAGAUAUGGUAGUGUGUAUCCCUUCAAGUAUGUGUUUUGUGUUGUGUAGUAUGUGAGAAGAGAGAGGGUUAUGGAAACGUUUGAAUGAGAGAGGAGCAGAUUUUUUUUUUUUGUCCUCCUCUUCAGAAAGAGAAAAAGGGUCCAUGAUAUGGUGUGUGAAUAUGAAAUAUCCGUUGGAGCGUAUAAUUGUGGUAGGUGGGAAUUUGAAUUACAAUGUUUGAAAUUUUAAACGUUGCAAAAUCUGACAAAUACCAAUAGGAUUUCUCUUGAUUGCUUUUGAUCUGUAUAGCAUUUAGCAAAAUAAAAUUACUACUUUUCAUUGAGAUGACAUAAAGAAACUAAACUUCUUCCUUUUGACUAAAACAUAUUUGAAAGAAGGAUAUAUUUUCUUAAAGCUUAGAACAACAAAUCUUUUUGCUACGUGUAUUAGUCAUACUCAUAUUCCUACUAUUGAUUAUUUGAAUCCUUUCCGAUCUUGAAUUAAUUCUUUUGAGCUUCUAAUUUAAUAACUAGUUAAUAUAUAUUAAAUAAAAAAAAUGAAAAUUUAAUAUAUACAUGACUACUUUAAUAAAUAUGAGACUAAAAAAUAAAGUAACAAUGAUCGACUUUAAAAAAAUAAAAUAAAAUAAUAACAGUAAUAUUGAUAACACAUUAAUAUUUUAAAAUUGAUAAUAAUAGUAUUACAUAAAUAAGAACGGUAAAAAAAAAAUAAUAAUAAAUUGAAAUAGUGAUGAAAUAUAAAAUAUUUAACGUACUAUUAAUUUAGAAGCUCAAGAAAAUGAAUUAAUAGAAAGGAUGAACAAAAUUGAGUAUCAAUAAAAAUUAACGCGACAAGACACCAAAUUAUUAUUGCAUUUGUAUUGAAAUAAUUGAUUCGACUCAGCUUUUGCAAACAUGUAGAAAUUGAUUUGUAAUUAUGAAAAAAUGUAAAAAAUAUUAAAAGUAUAAAAAAUGUUUAAAAUAUUCAAAAAUAUAAUUAAUUUAAAAAAUAUUACAAAAAUGUGAUGUUAUGCACGUGUGCAAAUGUUUGUGAAAUAAUAAAUUGAUAAGAAUAAGAAAAAUUAUUAAUAAAUUAUAAAGAGUAAAAAAAUAUAAAAAUAAAUUGAUAAAAUUUUAAAGUAAGGAUAAACA